rnacentral:lncRNA from 1 species
CCAAUUGAUGUUUCUCUGUUCGAAGAUGCCCCUUUUUUAGAUGAUGGUUUUGUUCGUUGCAAUACUAUCACUGGAAAUGACUUUCCAGAGCAGGGAAAGGGUGACAGUAAGGAAGAUGACAAUCCACCAUCUCAAGAACAAUCUAUCAACAAGUCUGCUGUACCUUCAGGGACUGGCUUUGUAGAACACAAACCCUCUCCGCCUGCAUCAGGUAGCCUUCUCAAUAUUCCGGAUGACGUAAUCAUUGAUAUUCUUAGUAGGCUUAGUGCCAAGUGUGCCUAUAAUUGCCAACGUGUGUGUAAAACAUUUUGUUCCCUCUUGUCAACCCCAUCUUUUGUUACCAUGCACCUUGAUCGGGCUACUCCAACCCUUGUUGUUCAGUGCAUCAGAGAACUUGGUAAAAGUAGCCCCUGGGCGCGGGUUAAUGUCCUCCAUUUCAUCAAUGGAUGUGAGGUGGUGGUGGCAUCAAGAUGGUAUAAGCAGCCUAACGAGUGGAAGCGAGACCUACUUGGUUCCUAUAACGGAUUACUUCUAUUUAAAAAUGUACCAUGUGGUGACCCUGCUUUCUUUAUUUGGAACCCUAUAACACGAGAAGAGGUAACCGUAAUUCCUCCAGAGGUAAGAUAUCAGGUAUGUGGAUUUUUUUUCCACACACCAACCGAGGAAUAUAGACUUCUUUAUAUUUGUAGUGGAUGGAGUAUUUCUAAGUAUUUGAUACUUUGCUUGCGGACCAAAUUGGUAAGAGAGAUUGCAAGCCCAACUGUGGUUCCCUGUAGAGAUACACCCCCUAUAAUGUUAAAUGGAGUACUGCAUUGGAUGGUUUCUGAAGAUCGAUGUGACAGUAAAUAUAAAAAUCCCCCUAGUUGUUCAAAGUCCAUCAUGACUUUCAAGAUGGAUAGUGAGGAAUUUGUUAUGAUGCCACACCCAGGAGAUGAAUGUGACCUAAGAAAUUAUCAUAAACACUUGCAGCUAUUGGAGAUGGAUGGACAUUUGUGUUUAUGCGAAAUUGUAUCAUCCACCAAACUAUAUCUAUGGGUACUAGAAGACUAUGAAAAGCAAUUAUGGAUUAAAGCACACAACGUUGACAUUAACCCAUUGAUUAGACGACACUUUUCAGGUGAUAGUACUCUUAAACCAUGGCUGGCUUUACAAGCUUUAUACAUCCACCAGGGCGAGAUGUUACUUCAAUGGAACUUGUUGGAAUUAUUUUAUUAUCAUCUGAAACUACAUACUUUUAGAAAAGUUGAAAAAGUUCACAUAAAAAAACUACGUAUAGCUUCUGUAGCCAUCCACAGGAAUAGCCUUGCCUCUCUGGAUACAGACUCUCUCAUUUUUAUGAAAGAUCUGUUGUAGCUGUUGUGAAUCCAUCUUUUCAUUUAGUUAUUAAGUUAUGUUUAGCUAGCAUGAACGAAGUUCUUAGAAAGGCUAUGUAUUCAGACAACGAUGUUUCUAGCUUAACUUGUGUGAGCAGUUUUUGUUCAUCUAAAGGCGCAAACUAUUAUUUUUUGCUAGCGGCAGAGAUAUGGCUUAGUUUUGUUGAUACUUGUCAUCACGCAAUAUUGUUAUACCUAUCUAAACUACUAUGAUACUAUCAUACUACCUGUAUAGAGGCAGUUAAUUUCAAAUUUUUUAGUUGUGCGUCAUUGUAGUUGUAGAAAUCUAGUUUAUGUUUGGGUGUGAUUUAGAUGUUGGUGAUUUUUUUCAUGUUCUAGCAACAUUGAUCAUUGAUAUGCAACAUCACUUAGUCAAUUCCAUCAGAGACCAAAAUAAGAACAAAACUUUGUCUAAUUUUAGAUUCAGAUUUUAUCAUGAAUUUCUUUUAAGAAACUACAAAGAACCACUUACACCUCGUCACCUCUGAAUUAACAUGUGCAAUUUUUUCCUUUUUUUUUUCUUUCCGAUUUGGCCUCAAGUCUUGGUAGUAGUAGAGAAAGAGGUUGAGAUGAGGACUCGUGAGGGGAAGAGGAGAACCAGAGAAAGACCAGAAGCGUUGUUUAUUUUUUUUUAUUUUUAAUUAGUUAUUAAAGUUGCUUCCUCGAGAUUUGCAUUAAUCUAAGAGUUCUGGGUGUUUACCGUAUCCGGUUAAGUGGAUUGUAUCUGCGCUCAAUAAUUUAAGAGGUUUGUGCAAUUUACAGACGGGACUUGACACCAUGAAUUCCAUCUUCAGCCAAAUUGAAAGUUCAAUCUCAGAGUCAGAGCAUCUCCAAAUGUAAAUGUUAUUCAAAGUUACUCCUUCAGGUACUGUUUAAAAUAGUUAAGUCAUAUAUUCUACACAAAGAAAUAUGCAAAAUAUACAUCAUCUUCAAUCUUACUAAUACCAUUUUAACAUGUCUAGGCUUAUAUUGCGCUCGCUAAUUCACUCAUGACUUUGUUUUAUACUUAUUCGAGAAUGCAGAAGAAUACAACAAAGAGACUUUGGUUUUUUAUAUGAUUUGGUAUAUAAUUUUUGUCUAACUUAUUCCUAUAUAUUUUUUCAGAAAAAGGGAUUGCAAGAUAAGAUACAAGUAUACAACUGAUUGGCCAUUGAUCUCAGUGAUAAGCUUGGUAGGAAGCGAAACUCAGCACUGCAAAUUGGGUGAUCGUUUAGCAUGCCACCUUUGUAGACUUGCUCAUCUUCUUCGUUUCCGUUUCCUCAAUCUUUCUCUCAUGCUCUAAUUGGAUUAGCAAUCGGAUGCUUGGAAACACAAGGUGGAUAUUAUUGAAUGUGCAUCUUUUCAAUCUCCUGCCUUAUCAAUUAAGGUACUGCACUUAAUCAAUUAACUUAGUUUCUUUUGUAGCUUAUAUUCCUCUUUGUUUAUGAAUUCAGUUUGUAUACAUGUGUUAUUAGUGAUUGACUACCAUCAUAUAUAUAUUUGUCGUUUUGAUCAAGUUUGUUGUGACUAAUUUGUACUGAAUGUUUUAUUUAUGAACUCAAGUUUUGAUCUUCAAUUAUUUUAUUAACUCGCAUUUGAUAUGACACUUUAUGAAUUUGUGUGAGACAGGUCAUGUACGUUGUUAAUUGACUUCUGAGAAAGAAAGCAACUACGCCCACUGAAGUUUGCAAUACUUGAAUUUGAUUCAACUUUUGAGAAAGAGAGCAACUAUGCCAACUGCUUGCAAUUCGUUUUUGUGAUAACAUUCAGUUGGAAGUAAGACAACAACCGUACUAUAAAGACAAGUUUGUAUCCUAAGAUGGUUUUUAGAACCCCCUGUAGCAUAUUUCUUAUGGAAGCAGUAUAGCCUUAUGGCAAUAUCAACAUUUUACAUUCCGAUUCAUUGAAUUCUCUAUGUUCUUGGAUACUUUGUGCUUAACAUUUGCCCUUUGUCAGUAUAGUCUUCAUUGCCAAAUUUUAUUAUUAAAACUAAAGUAUAUGGAUGUGUACAACUUUCAAAAAUUAUUAGGUGUUCUUCUAUAGUGCCAUUUGCCCUUUGUCAGUAUGGUUUCAUUGCCAAAUUUUAUUAAAAC